rnacentral:rRNA from 1 species
CCUACGGGAGGCAGCAGUGAGGAAUAUUGGUCAAUGGGCGUAAGCCUGAACCAGCCAAGUCGCGUGAGGGAUGAAGGUUCUCUGGAUCGUAAACAUCUUUUAUAAGGGAAUAGAGUGUGAGGCGUAUAACGUUUUGUAUGUACCUUAUGAAUAAGGAUAGGCUAACUCCGUGCCAGGAGACGCGGUAAUACGGAGGGUCCGAGCGUUAUCCGGAUUUAUUGGGUUUAAAGGGUACGUAGGCGGCCUGUUAAGUCAGCGGUGAAAGUCUGUGGCUCAACCAUAGAAUUGCCGUUGAAACUGGGAGGCUUGAGUAUGGUUGAGGCAGGCGGAAUUCGAGGUGUAGCGGUGAAAUGCUUAGAGAUCACGCAGAACCCCGAUUGCGAAGGCAGCCUGCCAGGCCAUGACUGACGCUGAUGCACGAAAGCGUGGGGAUCAAACAGGAUUAGAUACCCGAGUAGUC